rnacentral:rRNA from 1 species
GGUUAAGCGACUAAGCGUACACGGUGGAUGCCCUGGCAGUCAGAGGCGAUGAAGGGCGUGCUAAUCUGCGAUAAGCGCCGGUAAGGUGAUAUGAACCGUUAUAACCGGCGAUACCCGAAUGGGGAAACCCAGUGUGACUCGUCACACUAUCAUUAACUGAAUCCAUAGGUUAAUGAGGCGAACCGGGGGAACUGAAACAUCUAAGUACCCCGAGGAAAAGAAAUCAACCGAGAUUCCCCCAGUAGCGGCGAGCGAACGGGGAGGAGCCCAGAGCCUGAAUCAGCAUGUGUGUUAGUGGAAGCGUCUGGAAAGGCGCGCGAUACAGGGUGACAGCCCCGUACACAAAAGCGCAUGUGCUGUGAGCUCGAUGAGUAGGGCGGGACACGUGGUAUCCUGUCUGAAUAUGGGGGGACCAUCCUCCAAGGCUAAAUACUCCUGACUGACCGAUAGUGAACCAGUACCGUGAGGGAAAGGCGAAAAGAACCCCGGCGAGGGGAGUGAAAAAGAACCUGAAACCGUGUACGUACAAGCAGUGGGAGCACCCUUUGGGUGUGACUGCGUACCUUUUGUAUAAUGGGUCAGCGACUUAUAUUCUGUAGCAAGGUUAACCGAAUAGGGGAGCCGGAGGGAAACCGAGUCUUAACCGGGCGUUAAGUUGCAGGGUAUAGACCCGAAACCCGGUGAUCUAGCCAUGGGCAGGUUGAAGGUUGGGUAACACUAACUGGAGGACCGAACCGACUAAUGUUGAAAAAUUAGCGGAUGACCUGUGGCUGGGGGUGAAAGGCCAAUCAAACCGGGAGAUAGCUGGUUCUCCCCGAAAGCUAUUUAGGUAGCGCCUCGUGAAUUCAUCUCCGGGGGUAGAGCACUGUUUCGGCUAGGGGGCCAUCCCGGCUUACCAACCCGAUGCAAACUGCGAAUACCGGAGAAUGUUAUCACGGGAGACACACGGCGGGUGCUAACGUCCGUCGUGAAGAGGGAAACAACCCAGACCGCCAGCUAAGGUCCCAAAGUCAUGGUUAAGUGGGAAACGAUGUGGGAAGGCCCAGACAGCCAGGAUGUUGGCUUAGAAGCAGCCAUCAUUUAAAGAAAGCGUAAUAGCUCACUGGUCGAGUCGGCCUGCGCGGAAGAUGUAACGGGGCUAAACCAUGCACCGAAGCUGCGGCAGCGACACUGUGUGUUGUUGGGUAGGGGAGCGUUCUGUAAGCCUGCGAAGGUGGCCUGUGAGGGUUGCUGGAGGUAUCAGAAGUGCGAAUGCUGACAUAAGUAACGAUAAAGCGGGUGAAAAGCCCGCUCGCCGGAAGACCAAGGGUUCCUGUCCAACGUUAAUCGGGGCAGGGUGAGUCGACCCCUAAGGCGAGGCCGAAAGGCGUAGUCGAUGGGAAACGGGUUAAUAUUCCCGUACUUGGUGUUACUGCGAAGGGGGGACGGAGAAGGCUAUGUUGGCCGGGCGACGGUUGUCCCGGUUUAAGCGUGUAGGCUGGUUUUCCAGGCAAAUCCGGAAAAUCAAGGCUGAGGCGUGAUGACGAGGCACUACGGUGCUGAAGCAACAAAUGCCCUGCUUCCAGGAAAAGCCUCUAAGCAUCAGGUAACAUCAAAUCGUACCCCAAACCGACACAGGUGGUCAGGUAGAGAAUACCAAGGCGCUUGAGAGAACUCGGGUGAAGGAACUAGGCAAAAUGGUGCCGUAACUUCGGGAGAAGGCACGCUGACACGUAGGUGAAGUGAUUUACUCAUGGAGCUGAAGUCAGUCGAAGAUACCAGCUGGCUGCAACUGUUUAUUAAAAACACAGCACUGUGCAAACACGAAAGUGGACGUAUACGGUGUGACGCCUGCCCGGUGCCGGAAGGUUAAUUGAUGGGGUCAGCGCAAGCGAAGCUCCUGAUCGAAGCCCCGGUAAACGGCGGCCGUAACUAUAACGGUCCUAAGGUAGCGAAAUUCCUUGUCGGGUAAGUUCCGACCUGCACGAAUGGCGUAAUGAUGGCCAGGCUGUCUCCACCCGAGACUCAGUGAAAUUGAACUCGCUGUGAAGAUGCAGUGUACCCGCGGCAAGACGGAAAGACCCCGUGAACCUUUACUAUAGCUUGACACUGAACAUUGAGCCUUGAUGUGUAGGAUAGGUGGGAGGCUUUGAAGUGUGGACGCCAGUCUGCAUGGAGCCGACCUUGAAAUACCACCCUUUAAUGUUUGAUGUUCUAACGUGGACCCGUUACCCGGGUUGCGGACAGUGUCUGGUGGGUAGUUUGACUGGGGCGGUCUCCUCCUAAAGAGUAACGGAGGAGCACGAAGGUUGGCUAAUCCUGGUCGGACAUCAGGAGGUUAGUGCAAUGGCAUAAGCCAGCUUGACUGCGAGCGUGACGGCGCGAGCAGGUGCGAAAGCAGGUCAUAGUGAUCCGGUGGUUCUGAAUGGAAGGGCCAUCGCUCAACGGAUAAAAGGUACUCCGGGGAUAACAGGCUGAUACCGCCCAAGAGUUCAUAUCGACGGCGGUGUUUGGCACCUCGAUGUCGGCUCAUCACAUCCUGGGGCUGAAGUAGGUCCCAAGGGUAUGGCUGUUCGCCAUUUAAAGUGGUACGCGAGCUGGGUUUAGAACGUCGUGAGACAGUUCGGUCCCUAUCUGCCGUGGGCGCUGGAGAACUGAGGGGGCUGCUCCUAGUACGAGAGGACCGGAGUGGACGCAUCACUGGUGUUCGGGUUGUCAUGCCAAUGGCACUGCCCGGUAGCUAAAUGCGGAAGAGAUAAGUGCUGAAAGCAUCUAAGCACGAAACUUGCCCCGAGAUGAGUUCUCCCUGAGACUUAAAGUCUCCUGAAGGAACGUUGAAGACGACGACGUUGAUAGGCCGGGUGUGUAAGCGCAGCGAUGCGUUGAGCUAACCGGUACUAAUGAACCGUGAGGCUUAACCUU